rnacentral:rRNA from 1 species
UAGGGAAUAUUGCACAAUGGAGGAAACUCUGAUGCAGCGACGCCGCGUGAGUGAUGAAGGCCUUCGGGUCGUAAAGCUCUGUCGUAUGGGACUAACACAAUGAAGGUACCAUGCAAGAAAGGUUCGGCUAACUUCGUGCCAGCAGCCGCGGUAAGACGAGGGAACCUAGCGUUGUUCGGAAUUAUUGGGCGUAAAGCGGGUGUAGGCGGCUCUAUAAGUCAGGUGUGAAAGCCCGAGGCUCAACCUCGGAAGUGCACUUGAUACUGCAGAGCUUGAGUGUGGUAGAGGUUACUGGAAUUCCUGGUGUAGUGGUGAAAUACGUAGAUAUCAGGAGGAAUACCGGAGGCGAAGGCGGGUAACUGGGCCAACACUGACGCUGAGACCCGAAAGCGUGGGGAUCAAACA